rnacentral:lncRNA from 1 species
UAUAGUGCAAAGUGCAUACAAUGCAUUUUAUAAUUUGUUGUUAUUUCUACCUUGUGCUAGAGCUGCCCAUGUAGCUGAAACCCCAAGGACUAGCAGAGGAGCUGGAGAGCUGCUAGGUAGCUCUGAAGGAAGAAAUGGAUAAUCAAAGAAAUACAAGAAACUUUUGUUUAUCUUUGGUAAAAUGGGAGUAGGAAAAGCAAGGACAACUAACUUUUACUACUAAUUACCAAGACUCAUUUUAAGGCUUCAUGGAAUAUGAGAGCCAAAAUAAUGACUGGCCAAGAAAAACUUCAAGGAGCCUUAUGGAUGUUGUACCUCAAGAGAGAAAAAUGCUCACACUUAAAAUA